rnacentral:rRNA from 1 species
UACAGAGGGUGCGAGCGUUGUUCGGAAUUACUGGGCGUAAAGGGCGCGUAGGCGGCCGCCUAAGUCAGACGUGAAAUCCCUCGGCUCAACCGGGGAACUGCGUCUGAUACUGGGUGGCUUGAAUCCGGGAGAGGGAUGCGGAAUUCCAGGUGUAGCGGUGAAAUGCGUAGAUAUCUGGAGGAACACCGGUGGCGAAGGCGGCAUCCUGGACCGGCAUUGACGCUGAGGCGCGAAAGCCAGGGGAGCAAACGGG